GGGAAGUUGGCUCAGUGGUAGAGUGCUUGCCUUUCAUGCCUGAGGCCCUGGGUUCAAUUCCUCCACAUCACA
rfam:Dipodomys ordii contig_16517, whole genome shotgun sequence.